UCAUUUUUGAUUUUCAUUCGAGAGGAUUCGAGUCUUUCCCUCUAUCCUUGUCGCUCGUGAAAACAAGCAAUCGGAGUGUAUAUAUACCCCCCUCAAAUGCAUCGACGCGUCAUUUCAAUUCUACCAGUGACUAAUUAGUCGUGACCGCGUGAGGACCAGUGACAUCUGAGUGACGCAUAAGCGAUUCCGGUGGAUUUUCGAGAGUAUUGAAUUUGAAGGAAAAAAUGGCACACCAGCACCCAAGUUAUUCAAUGGUACCAAAUGUUUGGGUGCCAAAUGAGUGGAUGAAUUUACUGCCUAGACCUGUUCUCCACAUGGUCAUCGCCAUGACUCUUCAUGAUGGAGCAACAACAGACAUGAACAUCUAUGUCGAUCUGGUUGGCGUUUCAACUGUUCUGAGAACGCUUCCAGAAGGUCCAUCCUUCUUCUUUGAGAGAGCACCACUCCCGCCAUGCACAGCUGGACACGGCUGUCCUCGUUGCCAUCGCUGCAAUGAUGUUAACAACGUUCCAUAAAAAGUGGACUCGUACAGCUGAGCACAUGAUGUAUCAAUGUCGGAUGGAGUGCUCAUCUCAUGCUAUAUCGACUUCAUUCCUCAUUUUAUUUUUCUACAUGAACAUUUUUUUUUAAUUAUACAAUGAUAUCAAAGUUUUUCAAUUCAUAA